rnacentral:rRNA from 1 species
AGUCUACGGGAGGCAGCAGUGAGGAAUAUUGGUCAAUGGACGUAAGUCUGAACCAGCCAAGUAGCGUGCAGGAUGACAGCCCUAUGGGUUUUAAACUGCUUUUAUGCGGGGAUAAAGUCAGCCACGUGUGGUUGUUUGCAGGUACCGCAUGAAUAAGGACCGGCUAAUUCCGUGCCAGCAGCCGCGGUAAUGACU